rnacentral:misc_RNA from 1 species
GGCUGACAUUUCCUACCAAAAGUAUUACAAUCACCAGAAAAGAAAUUCAAAAAAUUGAAUAAUUCAAGGCUGAAAUUCAAAAAAACAAGCAUAAGAAAUAAAAAUCAACAAACACUGAUUACUUUAUCCAGAAUUUCCCAUUUGAAAAAAAAUAUAUAUAUCAUAAUUUGGAUAAAGCUGUAUUAUUUACGCCCAAUAAAUUUUCCAUUUAAAAAAAAAAAAUCAGAAUUGGGAGUUUGGACACAGAAUUGUACAGAGAUUAAUAUGAACAUUCAAUCCGGUGCACACGGUCCCUUAGAAUUCCAUUGUAGAGAGCAAUCCUAUUCGCUGGCAUUCCAUGAGUUCCUGGGAUUUCAUUUCUGCAGAUUCUUGUAAUUGAUUUCUCUUUCUCUUGAUUAGCAAACAAAGACUUCUCUUUCUCCCUUCUGUACUCAUCUCCGUUCCCUUUUGUAUCCUUCACAUUCUCUGCAAAUUUCACGCUUUUCUUCUUCUUCUUCUUCUU